ACUCAGUGCUGGAAGUAGGAGGAGAGUCAGGACUCCCAGGACAGAGAGUGCACAAACUCUGGAGGCUGAAGAGGGAUUCCAGCCCCUGCCACCCACAGACACGGGCUGACUGGGGUGUCUGCCCCCCUUGGGGGGGGGCAGCACAGGGCCUCAGGCCUGGGUGCCACCUGGCACCUAGAAGAUGCCUGUGCCCUGGUUCUUGCUGUCCUUGGCACUGGGCCGAAGCCCAGUGGUCCUUUCUCUGGAGAGGCUUGUGGGGUCUCAGGACGCUACCCACUGCUCUCCGGGCCUCUCCUGCCACCUCUGGGGUGCCACCAAAUUCUGGGCUUGGAACAGCUUCAGCUCCCACCCGCUCCUCCACACACAGACAGUGACAUACUCUGCCUGCCUGGGGACAUCGUGCCUGCUCCGGGCCCCGUGCUGGCGCCUACGCACCUGCAGACAGAGCUGGUGCUGAGGUGCCAGAAGGAGACCGACUGUGACCUCUGUCUGCGUGUGGCUGUCCACUUGGCCGUGCAUGGGCACUGGGAAGAGCCUGAAGAUGAGGAAAAGUUUGGAGGAGCAGCUGACUCAGGGGUGGAGGAGCCUAGGAAUGGUGAGGAGAACCUGGCUGGCCCAACUGCCCCAUGCCAAGGCUCCUGGGCCUGACUGACCCCUGCCCUGUUGCCCACAGCCUCUCUCCAGGCCCAAGUCGUGCUCUCCUUCCAGGCCUACCCUACUGCCCGCUGCGUCCUGCUGGAGGUGCAAGUGCCUGCUGCCCUUGUGCAGUUUGGUCAGUCUGUGGGCUCUGUGGUAUAUGACUGCUUCGAGGCUGCCCUAGGGAGUGAGGUACGAAUCUGGUCCUAUACUCAGCCCAGGUACGAGAAGGAACUCAACCACACACAGCAGCUGCCUGCCCUGCCCUGGCUCAACGUGUCAGCAGAUGGUGACAACGUGCAUCUGGUUCUGAAUGUCUCUGAGGAGCAGCACUUCGGCCUCUCCCUGUAUUGGAAUCAGGUCCAGGGCCCCCCAAAACCCCGGUGGCACAAAAACCUGGUGAGGCCUCCCCCUUCCCAAGUCCAUUCCCACUGUAGGCUGAUGCCUGUGCAAAGGAUGCAGUGCCUUAUCAGAGAGGAUCCUUGAAGAGGACUCACCCCAAGCAAGGGAAAAUUGACUGGACCGCAGAUCAUUACCUUGAACCACACAGACCUGGUUCCCUGCCUCUGCAUUCAGGUGUGGCCUCUGGAACCUGACUCCGUUAGGACGAACAUCUGCCCCUUCAGGGAGGACCCCCGCGCACACCGGAACCUCUGGCAAGCCGCCCGGCUGCGACUGCUGACCCUGCAGAGCUGGCUGCUGGACGCACCGUGCUGGCUGCCCGCAGAAGCGGCACUGUGCUGGCGGGCUCCGGGUGGGGACCCCUGCCAGCCACUGGUCCCACCGCUUUCCUGGGAGAAUGUCACUGUGGACAAAGUUCUCGAGUUCCCAUUGCUGAAAGGCCACCCUAACCUCUGUGUUCAGCAGGUGAACAGCUCGGAGAAGCUGCAGCUGCAGGAGUGCUUGUGGGCUGCUAUGGGAUGAUGACUUGGGAGCACUAUGGGCCUGCCCCAUGGACAAAUACAUCCACAAGCGCUGGGCCCUCGUGUGGCUGGCCUGCCUACUCUUUGCCGCUGCGCUUUCCCUCAUCCUCCUUCUCAAAAAGGAUCACGCGAAAGGGUGGCUGAGGCUCUUGAAACAGGACGUCCGCUCGGGGGCGGCCGCCAGGGGCCGCGCGGCUCUGCUCCUCUACUCAGCCGAUGACUCGGGCUUCGAGCGCCUGGUGGGCGCCCUGGCGUCGGCCCUGUGCCAGCUGCCGCUGCGCGUGGCCGUAGACCUGUGGAGCCGUCGUGAACUGAGCGCGCAGGGGCCCGUGGCUUGGUUUCACGCGCAGCGGCGCCAGACCCUGCAGGAGGGCGGCGUGGUGGUCUUGCUCUUCUCGCCCGGUGCGGUGGCGCUGUGCAGCGAGUGGCUACAGGACGGGGUGUCCGGGCCCGGGGCGCACGGCCCGCACGACGCCUUCCGCGCCUCGCUCAGCUGCGUGCUGCCCGACUUCUUGCAGGGCCGGGCGCCCGGCAGCUACGUGGGGGCCUGCUUCGACAGGCUGCUCCACCCGGACGCCGUACCCGCCCUUUUCCGCACCGUGCCCGUCUUCACACUGCCCUCCCAACUGCCAGACUUCCUGGGGGCCCUGCAGCAGCCUCGCGCCCCGCGUUCCGGGCGGCUCCUAGAGAGAGCGGAGCAAGUGUCCCGGGCCCUUCAGCCAGCCCUGGAUAGCUACUUCCAUCCCCCGGGGACUCCCGCGCCGGGACGCGGGGUGGGACCUGGGGCGGGGGACGGGACUUAAAUAAAGGCAGACGCUGUUUUUCUA
rnacentral:sRNA from 1 species